rnacentral:rRNA from 1 species
UUUGGGCGCGUCUCCCUUCUCGGGAAACACUCUCAACCCCCACGAACCCUUGACCUCAAAUCGGGUGAGACUACCCGCUGAACUUAAGCAUAUCAAUAAGCGGAGGAAAAGAAACUAACAAGGAUUCCCCUAGUAACUGCGAGUGAAGCGGGAAAAGCUCAAAUUUAAAAUCUGGCGGUUCUUUGGCUU